AACGAACGCUGGCGGCAGGCCUAACACAUGCAAGUCGAGCGGUCCCGCAAGGGGCAGCGGCAGACGGGUGAGUAACACGUGGGAAACUACCCCGAGGUACGGAACGACUCGGCGAAAGCUGAGCUGAUACCGUAUGUGACCGAGAGGUGAAAGAUUUAUCGCCUCGGGAUGUGCCCGCGUCGGAUUAGCUAGUUGGUGAGGUAACGGCUCACCAAGGCGACGAUCCGUAGCUGGUCUGAGAGGAUGAUCAGCCACACUGGGACUGAGACACGGCCCAGACUCCUACGGGAGGCAGCAGUGGGGAAUAUUGGACAAUGGGGGCAACCCUGAUCCAGCCAUGCCGCGUGAGUGAUGAAGGCCUUAGGGUUGUAAAGCUCUUUCGCCCGCGAAGAUAAUGACGGUAGCGGGAGAAGAAGCCCCGGCUAACUUCGUGCCAGCCGCCGCAGUAACAC
rnacentral:rRNA from 1 species